rnacentral:rRNA from 1 species
GACGUAGGUGGCAAACGUUAUCCGGAAUUAUUGGGCGUAAAGGGUGCGUAGAUGGCAUGAUAAGUUAUUGGUGGUAAAUCGAGGCUCAACCUCGUGGAAGCUGGUAAUACUGUUAUGCUCGAGUGCAGAAGAGGUUAACGGAACUCCCUGUGGAGCGGUAAAAUGUGAAGAUAUAGGGAAGAACACCAAUAACGGCGAAGGCAGUUAACUAUUCUGCUACUGACAUUGAGGCACGAAAGCGUGGGGAGCAAAACGG